rnacentral:rRNA from 1 species
UACGUAGGGGGUUAGCGUUGUCCGGAUUUACUGGGUGUAAAGGGCGCGUAGGCGGAUUUGCAAGUCAGAGGUGAAAUCCUACAGCUUAACUGUAGAACUGCCUUUGAUACUACAAAUCUUGAGUUCAGAAGAGAGAGAUGGAAUUCCAGGUGUAGUGGUGAAAUACGUAGAUAUCUGGAAGAACACCAGUGGCGAAGGCGAUCUUUUGGUCUGACACUGACGCUGAGGCGCGAAAGCGUGGGUAGCAAAC